GACGAACGUUGGCGGCGUGCUUAAUACAUGCAAGUCAACUGAAGCACCGGUAGUAAUACUGGUGUGGAGGUGGCGCACGGGUGAGUAACACGUAGGUAAUCUGCCUUCAGGUCUGACAUAACCCCGAGAAAUCGGGGCUAAUAGCAGAUGAUGCAGCGGCUUGACAUCAAGACAGUUGUUAAGGCUUCGGCGCCUGAAGAUGAGCCUGCGUCUGAUUAGCUAGUUGGCGGAGUAAUAGCCCACCAAGGCGACGAUCAGUAGCUGGUCUGAGAGGAUGAUCAGCCACACUGGAACUGAGACACGGUCCAGACUCCUACGGGAGGCAGCAGUAAGGAAUAUUGCUCAAUGGGAG
rnacentral:rRNA from 1 species